UACGUAGGCAGCAAGCGUUGUUCGGAAUUACUGGGCGUAAAGAGUGUGUAGGCGGUGUUCUAAGUCUGUUGUGAAAUCUCCCGGCUUAACCGGGAGGGUGCGGCGGAAACUGGAAUGCUAGAGGAUGGGAGAGGUAAGCGGAAUUCCUGGUGUAGCGGUGAAAUGCGUAGAUAUCAGGAGGAACACCUGUGGUGUAGACAGCUUACUGGACCAUUUCUGACGCUGAGACACGAAAGCGUGGGUAGCAAACAGG
rnacentral:rRNA from 1 species